rnacentral:rRNA from 1 species
UGCAGUCGNNCGGCAGCGCGAGGAGCUUGCUCCUUGGCGGCGAGUGGCGGACGGGUGAGUAACACGUAGGAAUCUACCGAGUAGAGGGGGACAACUCGAGGAAACUCGAGCUAAUACCGCAUAAGCCCUUCGGGGGAAAGCAGGGGAUCUUCGGACCUUGCGCUAUUUGAUGAGCCUGCGGAGGAUUAGCUUGUUGGUGGGGUAAAGGCCUACCAAGGCGACGAUCCUUAGCUGGUCUGGGAGGACGACCAGCCACACUGGGACUGAGACACGGCCCAGACUCCUACGGGAGGCAGCAGUGGGGAAUAUUGGACAAUGGGGGCAACCCUGAUCCAGCAAUGCAGCGUGUGUGAAGAAGGUCUUCGGAUUGUAAAGCACUUUCAGUAGGGAGGAAAACCCAUCGGUUAAUACCCGGUGAUUUGACGUUACCUACAGAAGANNNNNUGGNNNNNUCUGUGCCAGCAGCCGCGGUAAUACNNAGAGUGCAAGCGUUAAUCGGAAUUACUGGGCGUAAAGCGCGCGUAGGCGGAUUGUUAAGUCGGAUGUGAAAGCCCUGGGCUCAACCUAGGAAUUGCACCCGAAACUGGCAAUCUAGAGUAUGGUAGAGGGNAGUGGAAUUUCCGGUGUANCGGUGANNUGCGUANAUAUCGGAAGGAACAUCAGUGGCGAANGCGACUUCCUGGACNNAUACUGACGCUGANGUGCGAAAGCGUGGGGAGCAAACAGGAUUAGAGACCCUG